ensembl:piRNA 21ur-4556 ncRNA
UAAUUACACUGCUGUUGGAAA